rnacentral:tmRNA from 1 species
GGGGACGACAGGUAUCGACAGGGGUGUAAGUACCCGGGUAGCAGGCCGAGGAUGGUCGCCAACCUCGUAAAUCACGUGACCGAAAAAUAGUUGGCAACAACCGUCAACUCGCUCUCGCAGCCUAAAGCGCUGUGAGCAUCCCUCUCUUUCUCGCUCCUGGUCGGAAGGAGAUACGGGGUGUCACAUAGACCGGGAUGCCGCUAGUCCACGCCGGUAACGGCUAGCGAAAGCCUCAUCGGCUUGGCCAUCGCGCACGUGGACCACCAUCGAACGCGACGGCGACACUCAAUCGGUGGGAAAGCCUGUAGGACAAUUCGGGGCUGAAACUUUCUGGACCGGGAGUUCGAUUCUCCCGCGUCUCCACCA